rnacentral:rRNA from 1 species
UACGUAGGGGGCUAGCGUUGUCCGGAAUCAUUGGGCGUAAAGCGCGUGUAGGCGGCCCGGUAAGUCCGCUGUAAAAGUCGGGGGCUCAACCCUCGAAAGCCGGUGGAUACUGUCGGGCUAGAGUACGGAAGAGGCGAGUGGAAUUCCUGGUGUAGCAGUGAAAUGCGCAGAUAUCAGGAGGAACACCGAUUGCGAAGGCAGCUCGCUGGGACGCCCCUGACGCUGAGACGCGAAAGCGUGGGGAGCAAACAGG